AGCAGCCGCGGUAAUUCCAGCUCCAAUAGCGUAUAUUAAAGUUGUUGCAGUUAAAAAGCUCGUAGUUGAAUUUCGGGGUUAGUAGGUCGGUCGUGCCACAGGUAUGCACUGGUCUCACUGAUUCCUCCUUCCUGAUGAACCGUAAUGCCAUUAAUUUGGUGCUGCGGGGAAACUGGACUGUUACUUUGAAAAAUUAGAGUGUUUAAAGCAGGCUAACGCUUGAAUACAUUAGCAUGGAAUAAUGAAAUAGGACGUUCGAUCUUAUUUUGUUGGUUUCUAGGAUUGACGUAAUGAUUAAUAGGGAUAGUUGGGGGCAUUAGUAUUCAAUUGUCAGAGGUGAAAUUCUUGGAUUUAUUGAAGACUAACUACUGCGAAAGCAUUUGCCAAGGAUGUUUUCAUUAAUCAAGAACGAAAGUUAGGGGAUCGAAGACGAUCAGAUACCGUCGUAGU
rnacentral:rRNA from 1 species